rnacentral:rRNA from 1 species
UACAGAGGGUGCAAGCGUUGUUCGGAAUUAUUGGGCGUAAAGAGCUCGUAGGCGGUGUGUCGCGUCGGCCGUGAAAACCUGCAGCUUAACUGUGGGCGUGCGGUCGAUACGGGCAUCACUGGAGUUCGGCAGGGGAGACUGGAAUUCCUGGUGUAGCGGUGAAAUGCGCAGAUAUCAGGAGGAACACCAGUGGCGAAGGCGGCCAACUGGUCCGGUACUGACGCUGGAGGUGCGAAAGCGUGGGGAGCAAACAGG